AAUGAACGUUGGCGGCGUGGAUUAGGCAUGCAAGUCGUGCGAUGAAGCGGUGCUUGCACCGUGGAUUAGCGGCGAAAGGGAGAGUAAUGCGUAGAUACGUACCCCGAGGCCCGGAAUAGCGGCGGGAAACUGCCGGUAAUACCGGAUAAUGUCCCCGGACCAAAGGUGUGAUUCCGCCUUGGGAGCGGUCUACGUCCUAUUAGGUUGUUGGUGGGGUAAUGGCCCACCAAGCCAAAGAUGGGUACCGGGUGUGAGAGCAUGGCCCGGCUCACUGGGACUGAGACACUGCCCAGACACCUACGGGUGGCUGCAGUCGAGAAUCUUCCGCAAUGGGCGCAAGCCUGACGGAGCGACGCCGCGUGCGGGAUGAAGGCCUUCGGGUUGUAAACCGCUGUCAGUUGGGAGGAAAUGCAUGGGGGUUCUCCCCUGUGUUUGACCGAUCUUCAGAGGAAGGACGGGCUAAGUUCGUG
rnacentral:rRNA from 1 species